GCGUAUAGCUCAGUUGGAUAGAGCAACAGCCUUCUAAGCUGUGGGCCGAAGGUUCGAGUCCUUCUACGC
rnacentral:tRNA from 1 species